GAUGAACGCUGGCGGCAUGCCUAAUACAUGCAAGUCGAACGAGGGUCCUUCGGGACUCGAGUGGCGAACGGGUGAGUAACACGUAGGGAACCUGCCCGUGCGACCGGGAGAACUUUCGGAAACGGAAGCUGAUACCGGAUAGGGACAGAGACGGCAUCGACUCUGUGUUAAAGGAGCUGAAAGGCUCCGCGCACGGAUGGACCUGCGGUGCAUUAGCUGGUUGGUGAGGUAACGGCCCACCAAGGCGACGAUGCAUAGCCGGCCUGAGAGGGCGGACGGCCACACUGGGACUGAGACACGGCCCAGACUCCUACGGGAGGCAGCAGUAGGGAAUUUUCGUCAAUGGGCGCAAGCCUGAACGAGCAAUGCCGCGUGAACGAGGAAGGUCUUCGGAUCGUAAAGUUCUGUUGAAGGGGAAAAAGAGCGGAGAGAGGAAAUGGUCUCYGAUUGAUAUUACCCUUCGAGGAAGU
rnacentral:rRNA from 1 species